UACGGAGGGUGCGAGCGUUGUCCGGAAUCACUGGGCGUAAAGGGCGCGUAGGCGGCCUGAUAAGUAGGGGGUGAAAUCCUGCGGCUUAACCGCAGGGCUGCCUUCUAAACUGUCGGGCUAGAGCACGGUAGAGGGCAGAUGGAAUUCCCGGUGUAGCGGUGGAAUGCGCAGAUAUCAGGAAGAACACCCGUGGCUAAGGCGGCUCUCUAGUACGGUACUGACGCUGAGACGCGAAAGCGUGGGGAGCGAACAGG
rnacentral:rRNA from 1 species